rnacentral:lncRNA from 1 species
GAUGUUAUCAGACUUGAGUGCAGCUGAAAAGUAGGUUUCCAUACUGCUGGUAAGAAGGUGCUGCUGCAGAUGUCUGCUCACCAAGGACACCAAUUAACUUCCCAUAAGAAGUUAAUUAACUACUCCAACCAUAAGAAAACACCUAGCAUGGGGAAUUAAAUGGCAUUUCCAGCAAUCUUCUAGGAUGAUUCGAGACAUGUUCCGAGGAAGGAAUCCUUUGUACCAAAAGAAUCUGGAUAUAGCACAUAUGUUUGCCUGCUGGCAUCCCAAGAAGUGUUACCUCUCUCCCAACAGAAGGCUCACACUUUAUAGCUCCUGGAAAGUAACAUGUUUGCCUUCAAUAAAUAACAUGCAUUUUAAAGAAAACAUCUGGAUAAAAAUUGUGCUUGGCUUUUUAAAAUAUAGAAUUAAAAAGAAAUCGUAUUAAAGAAAAGUAGUGCAAUAAUAGUAGAGCUUGCUAUCAUAGAAAAAAUCAAUUUAACUUAUAUAGGUGGACUUCUAUGGGAUACAUACUAUAAAAUCACACUACAGAAUUUUCCAAAUAGAGAACACAGGGACCACUGAAGGAGUGGUAGAAGAUAUUUCAUUAAUGAAACAAAGGCAGCAAAUAGAGAUUAAAAAAAAAAAAAAAAAGUGUAGGUGUAGAGAUUUUAUUACAGUGCUUAGCAAUGUAGUCAUCAAUAACAGCAGAAAAUGCUAAGGGAAGGAACGUAUGGAAGCAUUAGAAACAGGAUCAAGUUAUAAGCUCUGGGAGAAAACAGAAUCCAGGAUAUAGGGAGGAGAUACCUAGGAAUGGUAAUGUCAGGAAAGGUCCUGAAGAAAUACAAACCAUCAAAUUAGUUAUCAGUCCAAGAAAGAGCAGCUUUUACAGGAAUAGAAAUAUUAACAGAACGUAUUAAAAAUGUUUAUUUUUAUAUAACACAUUUCUAGGCACCUAGUUAACAUAAUAUACAGAUGGACACAAGAAUGUUUAGUGACGGGUAAAAAUAAUAACUGAGGGGCUAGUUUACAAGAAAGUCAAAGUCCUAUAACAUGGCUGAAAAGUAGCUAACAGGGCAUACACUACUAGUCUAUCACUAAAGUAUGAAGUCAACCAGGAGCACAGCAAAGUUUUAUAGCAUAAUAAAAAGAGUUGUAAAAAGGAGCA